rnacentral:rRNA from 1 species
UACGGGGGGAGCAAGCGUUGUGCGGAUUUACUGGGCGUAAAGGGCGCGUAGGCGGUCACGACAAGUCAGUUGUGAAAUCUCCGGGCUUAACUCGGAACGGUCAACUGAUACUGUCGGACUAGAGUGCAGAAGGGGCAACUGGAAUUCUCGGUGUAGCGGUGAAAUGCGUAGAUAUCGAGAGGAACACCUGCGGCGAAGGCGGGUUGCUGGGCUGACACUGACGCUGAGGCGCGAAAGCUAGGGGAGCGAACGGG